GCGCCCGCGGCCCAUCAGCUAGUUGGCGGGGUAAUGGCCCACCAAGGCAACGACGGGUAGCUGGUCUGAGAUGACGAUCAGCCACACUGGAACUGAGACACGGUCCAUACUCCUACGGGAGGCAGCAGUGGGGAAUAUUGGACAAUGGGCGAAAGCCUGAUCCAGCAAUGCCGCGUGAGUGAUGAAGGCCUUAGGGUUGUAAAGCUCUUUUGCCAGGGAAGAAUAAAAUGACGGUACCUGGUGAAUAAGC
rnacentral:rRNA from 1 species